GAUGAACGCUGGCGGCGUGCCUAAUACAUGCAAGUCGAGCGAACAGACGAGGAGCUUGCUCCUCUGACGUUAGCGGCGGACGGGUGAGUAACACGUGGAUAACCUACCUAUAAGACUGGGAUAACUUCGGGAAACCGGAGCUAAUACCGGAUAAUAUAUUGAACCGCAUGGUUCAAUAGUGAAAGACGGUUUUGCUGUCACUUAUAGAUGGAUCCGCGCCGCAUUAGCUAGUUGGUAAGGUAACGGCUUACCAAGGCAACGAUGCGUAGCCGACCUGAGAGGGUGAUCGGCCACACUGGAACUGAGACACGGUCCAGACUCCUACGGCAGGCAGCAGUAGGGAAUCUUCCGCAAUGGGCGAAAGCCUGACGGAGCAACGCCGCGUGAGUGAUGAAGGUCUUCGGAUCGUAAAACUCUGUUAUUAGGGAAGAACAAAUGUGUAAGUAACUAUGCACGUCUUGACGGUACCUAAUCAGAAAGCCACGGCUAACUACGUG
rnacentral:rRNA from 1 species